UCCUGGGUGUAGGCUGAUCUAACUUUGGGAGAAACUUAGUUUACAAUUUACAACAAAGAUGAUAACAGCCCUCUCCCAAAACAAAUCCCCUUCUUUCCUGGGAACUAGACUGCCUUUGUAGGACUAACGAAUUAGCCAAAAGAUUAGAAAUUAUAGUUUAGGAGUCAUACAGCUGGAGGCUACAAGAUUCUGAAUCUCCUCAAAUUUCUCUUGGGGAUAACAUGACUCUUACAAAGCCUAAGAUCAGUGUUUGAGAUAUUUUGCAGACUCUGCACUCGAUGGAUCAGCUGGCACCACUCAGAUCGAUAAACUGGCUCAUCUGAACUUGUAGCCCUCACCCAGGAACCGACUCAGUGCAAGACAGCUUCGACUCCCUGUGAUUUCAUCUCCGACCAAAUCAGUCAGCAUCCACAAAUCAUUGGCUGCCACCCACUCACCAAAUUAUCCUUAAAACAUCUGAUCCUCAAAUGCUCGGGGAGACUGAUCUGAGUAAUAACAAAACUCAGUUCUCCCUCACAGCCAGCUCUGUGUGAAUUACUUUCUUUAUCACAAUUCCCCUGUCUUGAUAAAUCAGCUCUGUCUAGGGAGUGGGCAAGGUGAACCCACUGGGCAGUUACUCAACCACAUACCAAGUGCCAGAGGCUGGACCUGGACCUGUGAUACUAUGCUCUAAUAAGAUACUGCUUUGGGGGCUACCACUGGGCUCAGUUCAUCAUCACCCAUCUUGAUCCAUCUGAUUUUUUUCAGGGGUGAUAGCAGUAAACUGAAUGGGAAUAUGAUAGGAACCACCACUCCUGCAUUCUUUAAAUAUUGAAAAAUGGUAUUAAUUUCUGCAAUUCCACCCAGGAUAUAAUAUUGCUCUGAUUUAUUGUCUUGGCUUGGAGAAACAAUCUCGGGGAUGAUAGGAUUUUAGAAUAGCAGAAGCCAACUAGUUGCUUUAACCAAUUGGCUCUUCCUACCAUAAGGGUUCUUACUCACAGGUCAGUGAAACAAUAUGAGCAUUCUUCCAAUUGCAAAGAAUAUCAAUCCCAGUUAUGCCCAAGAGGACUGGGGAAAUGAUCACAGGUUGGGUCUCUGGACCCAUUGUACAUAUUGUAACAUAGAUCUAGGCUAAGACUCCACAUGUCUCCUCUGUAAUCAUGGAGCCAAGAAAGCAUUUUCAGAUCCCCUGAUAUCAGCAUCAGUUCAGAUCCUAUGUCCAAAAGCUCUCAAAAGUCUUCCUCUUUCUAUAGCAUACAAUUACUCUGUUAAACAGCUACAGUUUCCUUUGAGUUAGGAUUGAUAUAUUGUAUAUGCUUGCAGUGACAUUGAGGGGUCUUUCAUUAGGCAGACACAGCCUCUCCAAUUGGUGGUCUCUGAUCAAAAGAAUUAACUAAGCUGGAAACUGGACCAGAGAUUGCAGGUUUCCACUAUGGUAGCUGAUAUCAGUUUUCUUCACAGCAACUCUUGAUUUUUUUUUUUCUGAUUGUAUAAGCCAAGCAAUGUGCUAGCUCACUCUUUAUCUCAUUUGCCCCAAGGAAAAUAUAGUCUAUUAGACACUGCCACAGAUAUGUGCAGGACUCAGUGCCCCAGAUGCAACUCUGGUCUUUCUACCUGGCAUGAUAAUUACAUCCACCAUGAUACUGAUGGUUAAAUGUUACUACCCUGACCUCUGCUAUUCUGGAAUUCCAUCAUCACAAUUGACACUAUAGAACCCAGUUCCAUACAGAACGGAGCCUUAGGCAUCCAGCCGUUGGGGUGUGCCACUCAGAUCUCCUUUAAAGGAAGAAAUUGCCAUGAGGAAUGUAGUUAUCUGACAGCCUCCAGCUGCCUCAACUUUGAGGUCUUUCGCAGCAUUCACUCAAAGGCCACAUAGUCCUGGUCAAAGACUAAACAUGGCAAAGUUUCUAGAGCUGGUCCAUUCUUGCUCAUCAUAGGAUUCCUCUAAUGGGAAAUCUUUCCCCAAGGGUUCCGCAUUAGCCUAACCAAGACUUUCUCUGAGACUCUUAGUUAUUAUGAUGCUACUUCCACCAGCACCAGGGUUCUUGUUGCUAUCUGGCUGUUGAGUGAUUCAGUCCCACUGAGCAAUGUCAACCUGAUUGUCUUUCUUUGUUUUUAAGAAACAGGGUCUUGCUCUGCUGCCCAGGCUGGAGCACAGUAGUGUGAUCAUAGCUCACUACAGCCUUCAACUCCUGGGCCUUAGCAAUCCUCCUGCCUCAGCCUCCCAAGGAGCUAUGGCUGCAGGUAUCCGCCACCACUCAUUGACAGCCACUUCCAGUACUCACUGUCUUGGACACAGACUUGAGUAAAAGUACAGAAACAGGGCCGGUAGGACCAGAGGCUCCCCCUCCUGGGUCAGAUUAUGCAGUAAGGAGCUUCACAGAAUACGACUGGAAAUCCACAUACCCACUUUUCUGUUUAAUUCAGGAAGCAGUUGCUAAACACAACUAACAGAGCAAAGUAAGUACACAGGGCUAAGAGAAGAGGUAGAGAGAAGAACAAAAUGAAUUUAGGAAAGACUAGAAAGGAGAUUGUUGUGGGCACUUUAAGUAUUUGGAUCCAAAAAGGAGAGGAAAAGUCUGAGAAUACCGAUCUGUGGCUUCCCGGUGAUCCCAGAAGAAAAGGGGCAAGAGGCCUGGAUGAAGAAAUACCCUCAGAAACUCCCACUCUUCUGGUUCCUGCUGAAGACUCCAGUAAUAAAAGUUAUUCAUACCUACCUCCACCAUCUUGGCUGGGAAGUCAAGGAAGAAGAUAGCAGCCCGCAACCCGGAAGAGGGCCCUCACCAGAACCUACCAUGCUGGCACCCAGACCUCAGACUUCCAGCCUCCAGAAAUGAGCUCCCUCUGCUGCAGGAACUCAACGAUAGGGAGGAAGAGUCCAGAAAAGUAGGGCUGUCAGCACCUCUGUGAGCAGCCGACGAUCCACAGCGGAUGGAGUUUGGUGGUAAAGGUACUCACUUCCUGUCUCUCUGGUGAUGAUUUUGAGCAUGUUCUACAAAGUCUUUCAGAUGGUCCCAGUAGGUUGGAGCCCAGCUGCCCUCAGUGGUAACCUGCCCAUUAACGUAUCCUGUGUUGGUUUCCUUUCCUCCCCUACCUCACCUCCCCACUCCCCUUUCUAUGAUUCCUAGAGUCACCUCCCAAAUAAACUUUCACAUUUACAUUAUUGUCUCAUGGUCUCUUCUGAGGGAACUCAAACUAAAACAAAAUGCUUAUUGAAUUAAAUCCUCAGUUGCAGAUGAGAGGUUCAGGGACCAUGCCAGAUGCUGAAGGCACCAAGAUGGAUAGUGAUGAGCCUUCUCAUUCAGCCCUUACUCAGCACUGCCUCUGGCUACCAAGCACUGUGCUCCUAUCAUGUACCAGCCCCUGGGACUCUCCGUUUACAUGCAUCUUGGCUAACCCUUUCCACCACCCUGCCCAGUAGCUAUCAUUAUGCUCAAAUUGCAAACGGGGAAAUUGAUGCUCAGAGGGUUUUCCAAAGUCACACAGUCAUAGAAAUGCCAUCUUUGGUUAGGGAGCAGUGCCUCACACCUGAAGUUUCAGCACUUUGGGAGGCCA
rnacentral:lncRNA from 1 species